UACGUAGGGGGCUAGCGUUGUCCGGAAUCAUUGGGCGUAAAGAGCGUGUAGGCGGCCCGGUAAGUCCGCUGUAAAAGUCAAAGGCUCAACCUUUGAAUGUCAGCGGAUACUGCUGGGCUAGAGUCCGGAAGAGGCGAGUGGAAUUCCUGGUGUAGCGGUGGAAUGCGCAGAUAUCAGGAGGAACACCAACGGCGAAGGCAGCUCGCUAGGACGGUACUGACGCUGAGACGCGAAAGCGUGGGGAGCGAACAGG
rnacentral:rRNA from 1 species